rnacentral:rRNA from 1 species
GACGAACGCUGGCGGCGUGCUUAACACAUGCAAGUCGAGCGGUAAGGCCCUUCGGGGUACACGAGCGGCGAACGGGUGAGUAAUACAUCGGAACGUGUCCUUGAGUGGGGGAUAGCUCGGCGAAAGCCGGAUUAAUACCGCAUAAGCUCUGAGGAGGAAAGCGGGGGAUUCGCAAGGACCUCGCGCUGUUGGAGCGGCCGAUGUCGGAUUAGCUAGUUGGUGGGGUAAAGGCCCACCAAGGCGACGAUCCGUAGCUGGUCUGAGAGGAUGAUCAGCCACACUGGAACUGAGACACGGUCCAGACUCCUACGGGAGGCAGCAGUGGGGAAUUUUGGACAAUGGGGGCAACCCUGAUCCAGCCAUUCCGCGUGAGUGAAGAAGGCCU